rnacentral:lncRNA from 12 species
AGACCCUCUCACCAUGAAACUGGAGUCUAGGGGUCUGUGUCUCUGUGCAGCUGUGUGUUUCCCUAUUACUGCCCCCCGGGCAGUGCCCAUCCACGUGGGUGCCCUGGGGGCUCUGAGGCCCUAAAUAAGACUGGCCUUCGGGUCUCCAAAGAGACUUGCUGCCGCCCCUGUGAAGCAGGCACCUACCGCAGCCAGGCCCCGGAUGCCCAGGCCUGCCAGCCCUGCCCCCCUGGAUUCAGCUGCCACCAGGGAACAGAGAGCUACCACAGCCAGCCCUGCCCAGUAGGGCACUACUGUCCAGCCGGGACUUCCAGCCCCAGGCCCUGCCCAUCGGGAACAUUUAGAAACAGCAGCCAGGCAGGGGCAGCUGGAGAGUGCCUACCAUGCCCUGCGGGCACCUUUGGUCCCCAGCCUGGCCAGCCUGGCUGCCUCCCCUGUGGGAGCUCUGCUUUCUCUCUGCCUGGUGAGUCUCUGCCUAUGCCCACUGCCUGCCUCCCCACUGGCUAAUAAUUGCUCUUGUCUCCAGAUAUGGUCUCCAAAUACACCAUUUCUCCUGUCCCCUGAAGUUUUGAGGAUCAACAGUGUAAGGUUUCAGAAAACCACACUAAAGCUAUAGUAUGUGAGAGAAUGGGUGAGCCCGGGACUCCCACUGUAUGGGCCUGUGUGUGUGCACGGAUAAAAUGAGUGUCACAUUGACUUCAAUAAGUGAACACAAGGAAACAAGCUCAGAGAGGUCCAGCAACUUGCUGCAGAUAAGUCAACUGAUGGAGGAGCUGAGACCUUGCACUGGGACUGGCCAGUGUUUCUGACACUGCUGUAUGCUCUUAGAGGUGAUGGCAAGCCCACCCAUAUUAGAAUCUGUGCAACA